GCCUCAAACAGAUCUUUCACCAAGUGCUAUAUUCACUAAAUCUCUGUUGGUCUCUAUUACCAAUGAUAGAAAAAUAAAACAACAUGCUUAAACAUUCAUAAUACAAAUUUGAACCAUUUUAUCAAAAAAAUAUUCAGGAAUUAAAGUUGAACUACACAUAUAAAGGGAACUUCAAAUUUAAACUAAAUGGAUUUUCAACUAAAUUACGACUAUAAUAAGAAAUAAAAUUACAUAGUCCUGACUGAUUGAGUUAACUACACUUGAUGAAAUGCUAUAAUAACUGUAACCUUCGAUUUCAUCCACAACGCUUGUCAAUUUGACGAACAAUAGCUUACAACAUUUCAAAAUGGCUUGAUUUGGGUUUGAGACUCACAGAUCUGGCCUAUUGAUGGCCAGACCCAUAAGUUGAAGCCAUGACAUAACAUUAUCAGUCCUUCACAAAUAGCUUGACAUGUUGUCUUAACAAACCAUUAGGAAGUCUAUAGAUUAGAAUUCAUGAUCAACAAAUUAUGAUGUGGAGAUGCCAAUAAUAGAAACUAAUAGUAAUACAUGUGCUUAAGGACAUUCAUAACAGCAGCAAACAGGUCAGAGGUGAGCGAAUGCCAAUUCAAGCCAUUCAAAUACUUAGAACAUUGCAUAAGAAGAUAUAUAACAUCAUGUAAGCACAACGACCAUCUGAAUUUCACAGAUUUCAAGCUCAAAUUGAUUGUGCUAAGCUCAGAAUCAUACAAAGUUAUCAAUGUGUACCUUAAAGCAGCAAAAGUAAGUAGAAGAGAAAAUAAGUCUCUGAAAUUCUGAGAAGAAACAGCAGCAAGAACACAAAGCAGAAAAACCAAAACCACAGCAGCCUCAAACUCAGACCAUGAAUCCCAGCAAAAGAACAUUGGGAAAUGAAAAGAAACACAGCCUGGAUUUUUUUUCUUUUGUUUUCUAGCUUUAAACUUAAAAAGAAGAUCAGAUUGAAAAAUGAGGAGAAAGAGUCUUGGAAUAUUUUUUUCAGGGCUCUCUUGCGCGUCCGAAAAUUCCUGUUUUAGAAUGCAGAAUGAGUCCUAUUAUAUAGGCUGUGUGUGUGUAAUCAGAGAGAAUGAGAGAGAGUCCCCAAAAAAAAUAGAAUUUGUCAGGCCCUCACUAAAAUUUAGGAAAAUAGCAUCUUUCAAAACUGAAUUUGGACAAUUGUCCUUGUUUCUAGAUGGUUCUUUUUAUUUCUUACCAUUUAACUUCUGAAAAUUAUUUCUUGUGACCCCAACUUGAAAUGAACUCUGAUUUUUAAAAAAAAAUGCAUUUUAGUCCCUUCUAGAGACUUCCCCAACAAACAAAUCAGAUUCCCUAAUUUUCCAAAUCCCUUUGACCCCUUUAACUCCUAUUAAUUACACAUGAGUCAUAGCAGAAAGAAAUCAUGUAAAUCAGUCCCAAUAAACAAAGAAGCAAAAUUAAUCUAAUUAACUCAAUAAUUAAGACUAAUUAGCAUGCAAUUGAGCUGUUAAAAUCACAUAAACCCUUAAAACAAAACAGACAUGUUGCGCCUUAAAACAAAUAGCCAAAAUGUUAAUUUACUGUUAAUUAACUAAUUACUAAGCUAAACUAAUUAAACUGAGAUAAACGUUCAUCAAACAAGUUCUGAUUAAACACCUAAAACACAUUGUUCUUCUCUCUUUUUUUUUAAUCUUUCUUAAAGCAAACAAAAUAACAAAACAAGAUAAAGAGGGCAAGGAUGUACCUAGUAAAGAAAAACAAAACUACCCAUCUUGAAGCGAAACAAGAGGCUCGACCGGAUUCCGAUGAUUCCGUAAUAAACUAAAGCUUACAUUAAUUAAUUGUUCUUGACAAGAACAAAUAAUUAAUGUUAGUUUCAACUCAAAACAGCUUGAACUUGAUGAAGGAAUCGGAAAGAACUAAAUUAGGUUUUCUGGCCGAUUUUAGAUCUAAAAUUCGAGGAUUUUGAGUGGUGUUUUAGGAAAAUUGAAGGUAGAUUUGGAUUGAGGAUGAAGUGAGGAGUGUGGGGUGUGAAUUUGGGCGGAUUUGGAGGUCGUUUGGUGGUGCCAAGAUGGCGACCGCUGGUGGAGGUUUGUGGGAGUUUGGGGGCGGCUAGGGUUAGGCUGAGGGAGAGAGAUGGAGAAGUGAGAGGGAUCUGAGGGGUUUGG
rnacentral:lncRNA from 1 species